rnacentral:rRNA from 1 species
CUCGCUGGUGUCUCGCACGGUGCGACUGUUGUCGGUGCCGUAGGAAGCCGUGAAGCGAGCCACCUGGGAAGUACGGCCGCAAGGCUGAAACUUAAAGGAAUUGGCGGGGGAGCACCACAACGGGUGGAGCUUGCGGUUUAAUUGGAUUCAACGCCGGAAAUCUUACCGGGACCGACAGCAAUAUGAAGGCCAGGCUGAAGACUUUGCCGGAUUAGCUGAGAGGUGGUGCAUGGCA